rnacentral:rRNA from 1 species
CGAACGCUGGCGGCGUGCCUAAUACAUGCAAGUCGAGCGGAAUGAUGAAGAAGCUUGCUUCUUCUGAUUUUAGCGGCGGACGGGUGAGUAACACGUGGGCAACCUACCUUGUAGAUUGGGAUAACUCCGGGAAACCGGGGCUAAUACCGAAUAAUCCAUUUUGCUUCAUGGCGAGAUGUCGAAAGACGGUUUCGGCUGUCACUAUAAGAUGGGCCCGCGGCGCAUUAGCUAGUUGGUAGGGUAAUGGCCUACCAAGGCGACGAUGCGUAGCCGACCUGAGAGGGUGAUCGGCCACACUGGGACUGAGACACGGCCCAGACUCCUACGGGAGGCAGCAGUAGGGAAUCUUCCACAAUGGACGAAAGUCUGAUGGAGCAACGCCGCGUGAGUGAAGAAGGUUUUCGGAUCGUAAAACUCUGUUGUAAGGGAAGAACACGUACGAGAGUAACUGCUCGUACCUUGACGGUACCUUAUUAGAAAGCCACGGCUAACUACGUG